AUUCCAGCUCCAAUAGCGUAUAUUAAAGUUGUUGCAGUUAAAAAGCUCGUAGUUGGAUUUCUGGUAGGAGCGACCGUGCCGAACUUGAUUGUUCGUGUAUUGUGUUGUCUUCAGCCAUCCUCGUGGAGAACUUUUCUAACAUUAACUUGUUGGGAUUGGGACCCGCGUCGUUUACUGUGAAAAAAUUAGAGUGUUUAAAGCAGGCAUUAGCUUGAAUACAUUAGCAUGGAAUAAUAAGAUAGGACUUUGGUACUAUUUUGUUGGUUUGCAUACCAAAUUAAUGAUCAACAGGAACAGUUUGAGGAUAUUCGUAUGAACAUGUCAGAGGUGAAAUUCUUGGAUUUUGAUCAGACGAACUACUGCGAAAGCAUUUAUCAAGGAUGUUUUCAUUA
rnacentral:rRNA from 1 species